rnacentral:rRNA from 1 species
UCGAGUGGCCAACGGGUGAGUAACACGUGGGUGAUCUGCCCUGCACAUCGGGAUAAGCCUGGGAAACAGGGUCUAAUACCGAAUACACCCGUUUGCGACAUGGCUUGUGGGGGAAAGCUAUUGCGGUGUGGGAUGGGCCCGCGGCCUAUCAGCUUGUUGGUGGGGUGAUGGCCUACCAAGGCGACUACGGGUAGCCGGCCUGAGAGGGUGUCCGGCCACACUGGGACUGAGAUACGGCCCAGACUCCUACGGGAGGCAGCAGUGGGGAAUAUUGCACAAUGGGCGCAAGCCUGAUGCAGCGACGCCGCGUGGGGGAUGACGGCCUUCGGGUUGUAAACCUCUUUCACCAUCGACGAAGCUCACUUCGUGAGUUGACGGUAGGUGGAGAAGAAGCACCGGCCAACUACGUGCCAGCAGCCGCGGUAAUACGUAGGGUGCGAGCGUUGUCCGGAAUUACUGGGCGUAAAGAGCUCGUAGGUGGUUUGUCGCGUUGUUCGUGAAAUCUCACGGCUUAACUGUGAGCGUGCGGGCGAUACGGGCAGACUAGAGUACUGCAGGGGAGACUGGAAUUCCUGGUGUAGCGGUGGAAUGCGCAGAUAUCAGGAGGAACACCGGUGGCGAAGGCGGGUCUCUGGGCAGUAACUGACGCUGAGGAGCGAAAGCGUGGGGAGCGAACAGGAUUAGAUACCCUGGUAGUCCACGCCGUAAACGGUGGGUACUAGGUGUGGGUUUCCUUCCUUGGGAUCCGUGCCGUAGCUAACGCAUUAAGUACCCCGCCUGGGGAGUACGGCCGCAAGGCUAAAACUCAAAGGAAUUGACGGGGGCCCGCACAAGCGGCGGAGCAUGUGGAUUAAUUCGAUGCAACGCGAAGAACCUUACCUGGGUUUGACAUGCACAGGACGCGUCUAGAGAUAGGCGUUCCCUUGUGGCCUGUGUGCAGGUGGUGCAUGGCUGUCGUCAGCUCGUGUCGUGAGAUGUUGGGUUAAGUCCCGCAACGAGCGCAACCCUUGUCUCAUGUUGCCAGCGGGUAAUGCCGGGGACUCGUGAGAGACUGCCGGGGUCAACUCGGAGGAAGGUGGGGAUGACGUCAAGUCAUCAUGCCCCUUAUGUCCAGGGCUUCACACAUGCUACAAUGGCCGGUACAAAGGGCUGCGAUGCCGCAAGGUUAAGCGAAUCCUUUUAAAGCCGGUCUCAGUUCGGAUCGGGGUCUGCAACUCGACCCCGUGAAGUCGGAGUCGCUAGUAAUCGCAGAUCAGCAACGCUGCGGUGAAUACGUUCCCGGGCCUUGUACACACCGCCCGUCACGUCAUGAAAGUCGGUAACACCCGAAGCCAGUGGCGCA